UUUCAGAUUCAGGGAAACUUUUUUAUUGACAUAAACUUCCAGUUUAUGUUAAGAUAAACUAAUAAAAAAA
rnacentral:tRNA from 1 species